rnacentral:rRNA from 1 species
UACGGAGGGUGCAAGCGUUAUCCGGAUUCACUGGGUUUAAAGGGUGUGUAGGCGGAUUUUUAAGUCAGUGGUGAAAUCUCCGGGCUCAACCCGGAAACUGCCAUUGAUACUAUUAGUCUUGAAUUCUGUUGAGGUGGGCGGAAUACAUCAUGUAGCGGUGAAAUGCUUAGAUAUGAUGUAGAACACCGAUUGCGAAGGCAGCUCACUAAGCAGACAUUGACGCUGAGGCACGAAAGCGUGGGGAUCAACAGG